rnacentral:rRNA from 1 species
AACGAACGCUGGCGGCGUGUUUAAGACAUGCAAGUCGCACGGGACUAUUUGAGUAGCAAUACAAGAAUAGUCUAGUGGCGCACGGGUGAGUAACACGUGAAUUACACGCCCUGCAGAGGGGGAUAGCCCAGGGAAACUUGGAUUAAUACCCCAUGGUAUCGCGAGAUUAAAGGUGGCCGCAAGGCUGUCGCUGCAGGAUUGGUUCGCGCCCUAUCAGCUUGUUGGUGAGGUAACGGCUCACCAAGGCUACGACGGGUACCUGGUCUGAGAGGACGAACAGGCACACUGGAACUGAGACACGGUCCAGACACCUACGGGUGGCAGCAGUCGAGAAUAAUUCACAAUGGGGGCAACCCUGAUGGUGCAACGCCGCGUGGAGGAUGAAGGUCUUCGGAUUGUAAACUCCUGUCAUCCGGGAGUAAGACCUGGCGAUGAAUAGUCGACAGGGUUGAUAGUACCGGAAGAGGAAGGGACGGCUAACUUCGUGCCAGCAGCCGCCGUAA